AGAUUGAACGCUAGCGGGAUGCUUACACAUGCAAGUCGAACGGCAGCGCGGACUUCGGUCUGGCGGCGAGUGGCGAACGGGUGAGUAAUAUAUCGGAACGUGCCCAGUAGCGGGGGAUAACUACGCGAAAGCGUGGCUAAUACCGCAUACGCCCGUACGGGGGGAAAGGGGGGGAUCGCAGGACCUCUCACUAUUGGAGCGGCCGAUAUCAGAUUAGCUAGUUGGUGAGGUAAGCUCACAAGGCGACGAUCUGUAGCGUUGGUUAGAGAGGACGACCAGCCACACGUGGACUGAGACACGGCCAGACUCCGUACGGGAGCAGCAGGUAGGGUAAUUUGGACAAGUACGGGGG
rnacentral:rRNA from 1 species